GCUUAACACAUGCAAGUCGCGGGGCAGCACGAGGUAGCAAUACUUUGGUGGCGACCGGCAGACGGGUGAGUAACGCGUAUGUAACCUACCCUGUACUGGCGGAUAACCCGGAGAAAUUCGGACUAAUACCCCAUAGAAAUAUAGAGAGGCAUCUUGAAAUAUUUAAAGUUUCGACGGUACGGGAUGGGCAUGCGUAACAUUAGCUAGUUGGUAAGGUAACGGCUUACCAAGGCUUUGAUGUUUAGGGGUCCUGAGAGGGUGAUCCCCCACACUGGUACUGAGACACGGACCAGACUCCUACGGGAGGCAGCAGUGAGGAAUAUUGGUCAAUGGGCGAAAGCCUGACCCAGCCAUGCCGCGUGCAGGAAGACGGCCCUAUGGGUUGUAAACUGCUUUUGUAAGGGAAUAAACCCGAGGACGUGUCCUCGGCUG
rnacentral:rRNA from 1 species